GUCCCUGUAGCUCAGUUGGAUAGAGCACCUCGGUCCUAACGAGGGGGUCCCCAGUUCGAGUCUGGGCAGGGAUA
rnacentral:tRNA from 1 species